rnacentral:misc_RNA from 1 species
CGCGUGAAGAUCGAUAAGUCGCAUACACGCACACGCAGCGGCGCUGCUAGCUCAAGAAGCGGAGGGGGCGCGCGUAGAUCUCUUCGCUUGCAUCACGUUGUAUUGCUGAGCGGCACACAAGGCGACCGCGCCGACGGCCCCCCGACGCACACCUCACGAGUGCACCGCACCCAGUCACGAUGAUGCGGCGAACCGGCGCCGUGGCGGCGACGGCGGCGCUGCCGCAAAACAUGACAAUGAAAGACCCGCUCUGCCAGCAGGUGCUGAGCCGCUGCACCCCCGUCGUCUACUCCUCUCUGCCGAACGGCUUCCGGGUCGCGACGGAGUACGUGAAGGACUGCCCCUUCGCCACCGUCGGCGUGUGGAUCGACGCCGGCAGCCGCUUCGAGGACAUCCACAACAGCGGCGUGGCGCACUUCCUGGAGCACAUGAACUUCAAGGGCACCGACCGGUACUCGAAGAGCGACGUCGAGAACCUCUUCGAGCACCGCGGCGCGCACUUCAACGCGUACACCUCGCGCGACCGCACCGCCUACUACGUGAAGGCGUUCACGAAGGACGUGGACAAGAUGAUCGACGUCGUGUCAGACCUCCUCCAGCGUGGCCGCUACCGCCGUCACGACAUCGAGGCGGAGCGGCCGACGAUCUUGGCGGAGAUGCGCGAGGUAGAGGAGCUCGUGGAUGAGGUGCUCAUGGACAACGUGCACCAAGCCGCCUACGACCCGACGACGAGUGGGCUGCCGCUCACAAUCCUCGGCCCGGUCGAGAACAUCGCCAAGAACAUCAACAAGUCCAUGAUCGAGGACUACGUGCGGGUGCACUACACAGGACCGCGCAUGUGCCUCGUGUCGUCUGGCGGCAUCUCGCCUGAUGCGGCGCACGCGCUGGCGGAGAAGUACUUUAGCGGCCUGUCCUCCACGAACAACCGCCCGCUUCUGCGCGGUGUGUACAAGGGUGGCCACACAGUUCUGUGGAACGAGGGAAUGGCGACAGCGAACACGGCCGUGGCUUUCCCGAUCUGCGGCGCCUCGCACCCGGACAGCUACCCGCUGCAGCUGAUACACAACGUGAUUGGGCAGUUUCGCGAAGGGCAGUACGACCAGUUCAGCUCCCAGCGCCGCAACCCGAACCUGCCGUGGGAGCGGGUGCCGAACCUGGUCCAGCUGCGCCCCUUCUACACGCCGUACGAGGAGACGGCGCUGCUCGGCUACCACAUCGUGACGGCCCGCAUGGCGACGAGCGGCAUUGCCCGCGACGACGCGCAGACACUGAUGCUCAACUACGUCCUCAGCUCGCUCUACGACCUCUGUGCCACCAAGGUAGACGACUCCCUGUUGGAGGCGGCCAAGGCGGAGUUUAAGGCGUCCGUCAUGAUGAUGCGCGACAGCACGACGAACAGCGCCGAAGACCUCGGGCGGCAGAUGAUUCACUUUGGCCGCCGCGUGCCGCUGCAGGAGGUGUUUGAGCGGGUCGACGCCGUCACGCCCGAGUCCCUGCGCGCCGCGGCGGAGAAGUACUUGGCCGUCGUGCAACCCACCGUGUCCUGCAUCGGCGCGAGCAGCACGUUGCCCAAGUACAGCCCCCUCUCGCUCGUGUCAAAUGUGGUGCACCCGCAGCUGACGUCGGCGCAGUUCCCGGAGGACGCGCGUGCGUGUCUGCUGUGAGGACGGUGGCGAGAGGCGAGGCGCGUGCGAGUACAGCUGUGGUUGAGGGGGGAGGCGCACCGUCAUGGACCGCCCACCCACCCACCCACCCACCCCCCGCGCAUGCGUGCAUGGCAUGUCCAUGCAUACGCGUCUGUAUCACACACACACACACACACACUUGCGCGCUCCUGGUCUGGUUGCUGGACGGCUGGCUGGCUGCGUCUCGUGGCUCAUGCCUGUCGCCCGUAUGGCGGCCGCCGCUCACCCUGUUGCUGGUGAUGAUGGCGUUGCCGUUGGUGGGAAGGUCGAUGCACACGGCAGCCUUCUCUUUCCCUAUUAUGUUCCCUCUUGUUAAGCGCACGUUUGCCGUGUACCUCUUUUAAAGUUUCCUUCCAGGCACAACAAGCGCGAC